UGCAAUUUGACCACUUCAGCCCAGGAGGAAUUCAACCCCUUAAAUCUGAGGACCAGCCUAAAAAUGAUCUACUCCUGAGCAUGACCCUGAGAGCUUGAACAGACAGCAAGGUGUCUCACAUCAGGGAGGCUCCCCUUUCCGAAAGCUGAGAAGAGCUUCUGUUGGCCAAGUGGCUUAAUUCCAGCAUCCAAAGGACAUCAGGAAAUACUCGCAGACAAACAGAGGUGCAUUUCUCAAUCUGCAGAUAUCUUCUCGCCAGUCCUUCGUGAAGUGUCUACCGGAGCUGGGAUAAAUCUAUGACAACUUACAUCUUUGCCAGAAAAAGGGUGGAAACUGGGAAAGACACCACACCUGGAUGAAGAGCUGCAAAGGUAGAAUGAAAAAACACCAUCCUUUGCAGUGGCUUCUAUUAGGCACCAGACAGAAACCCCAGUCUAAAGUUAGAAUCUUAUUAACUUUCAUGGCAAAGCACUUGCAGAGCUAUAUUUGUAGGG